rnacentral:rRNA from 1 species
UUUAUUCUUGGUUUAGGAUGAACGCUAGCGGCAGGGUUAACCCAUCCAAGUUGAGGGGCCAGCAGUUCCAGCAAUGGAUGAUGGCGACCGGGGGAAGGGUGCGUAAGGGUGAGCAAACAUCCCCUAUACAGGGAGAUACACCAGGGAAACUUGGUUUAAUAUCCCAUAGCAUUCAUUGAAGGCAUCUUUUAAUGAAUUAAAGCUUCGGUGGUAUAGGAUUGGCUCGCGUGACAUUAGCCAGAUGGUGAGGUAACGGCUCACCAUAGCAAUGAUGUUUAGGGGUUUUGAGAGGAAGGCCCCCCACACUGGGACUGAGACACGGCCCAGACUCCUACGGGAGGCAGCAGUGAGGAAUAUUGGACAAUGGAUGGAAAUCUGAUCCAGCCAUGCCGCGUGCAGGAAGACGGCCUUAUGGGUUGUAAACUGCUUUUAUACGGGAGCAAUAAGGGUUACGAGUAAUCCGAUGAGAGUACUGUAUGAAUAAGGAUCGGCUAACUCCGUGCCAGCAGCCGCGGUAAUACGGAGGAUCCGAGCGUUAUCCGGAAUUAUUGGGUUUAAAGGGUGCGUAGGCGGCCAUUUAAGUCAGCGGUGAAAUUUUGCAGCUUAACUGUAACAGUGCCGUUGAUACUGUUUGGCUAGGAUUUGGUUGUAGUGUGCGGAAUGUGUGGUGUAGCGGUGAAAUGCUUAGAUAUCACACAGAACACCGAUUGCGAAGGCAGCACACUAAGUCAUUAUUGACGCUGAGGCACGAAAGUGUGGGGAUCAAACAGGAUUAGAUACCCUGGUAGUCCACACUGUAAACGAUGAUAACUCGCUGUCGGCGAUACACAGUCGGUGCCAAGCGAAAGCAUUAAGUAUCCACCUGGG